AACGAACGCUGGCGGCAUGCUUAACACAUGCAAGUCGAACGGAGGUCUAGGGCUUGCCCUUGGCCUCAGUGGCGAACGGGUGAGUAACGCGUGGGAACCUGCCUUGGAGUGGGGGAUAACCACUGGAAACGGUGGCUAAUACCGCAUGUGCCCCGAGGGGCAAAGCCGCAAGGCGCUACGAGAGGGGCCCGCGUCCGAUUAGCUUGUUGGUGGGGUAACGGCCUACCAAGGCAUCGAUCGGUAGCUGGUCUGAGAGGAUGAUCAGCCACACUGGGACUGCGACACGGCCCAGACUCCUACGGGAGGCAGCAGUGGGGAAUAUUGGACAAUGGGCGCAAGCCUGAUCCAGCAAUGCCGCGUGCGUGAUGAA
rnacentral:rRNA from 1 species